rnacentral:rRNA from 1 species
AACGAACGCUGGCGGCAUGCCUAACACAUGCAAGUCGAACGAUCCCUUCGGGGAUAGUGGCGCACGGGUGCGUAACGCGUGGGAACCUGCCCUUAGGUUCGGAAUAACUCAGAGAAAUUUGAGCUAAUACCGGAUAAUGUCUUCGGACCAAAGAUUUAUCGCCUUUGGAUGGGCCCGCGUUGGAUUAGCUAGUUGGUGGGGUAAAGGCCUACCAAGGCGACGAUCCAUAGCUGGUCUGAGAGGAUGAUCAGCCACACUGGGACUGAGACACGGCCCAGACUCCUACGGGAGGCAGCAGUGGGGAAUAUUGGACAAUGGGCGAAAGCCUGAUCCAGCAAUGCCGCGUGAGUGAUGAAGGCCUUAGGGUUGUAAAGCUCUUUUACCCGGGAUGAUAAUGACAGUACCGGGAGAAUAAGCCCCGGCUAACUCCGUA